rnacentral:rRNA from 1 species
UCGGGAAUUUUGGGCAAUGGGCGAAAGCCUGACCCAGCAACGCCGCGUGAAGGAUGAAGUAUUUCGGUAUGUAAACUUCGAAAGAAUAGGAAGAAUAAAUGACGGUACUAUUUAUAAGGUCCGGCUAACUACGUGCCAGCAGCCGCGGUAAUACGUAGGGACCAAGCGUUGUUCGGAUUUACUGGGCGUAAAGGGCGCGUAGGCGGCAAUUCAAGUCAUCUGGGAAAUCUCCGGGCUUAACUCGGAACGGUCAGAUGAUACUGCUUUGCUAGAGUGCAGAAGGGGCAAUCGGAAUUCUUGGUGUAGCGGUGAAAUGCGUAGAUAUCAAGAGGAACACCUGAGGUGAAGACGGGUUGCUGGGCUGACACUGACGCUAAUGCGCGAAAGCAAGGGGAGCAAACAGGAUUAGAUACCCAUGUAGUCCCUGAGCGGGCUGGCAAGGCGCAU